AGGGAAUCUUCGGCAAUGGACGGAAGUCUGACCGAACAGCGCCGCGUGAGUGAAGAAGGUUUUCGGAUCGUAAAGCUCUGUUGUAAGAGAAGAACGAGUGUGAGAGUGGAAAGUUCACACUGUGACGGUAUCUUACCAGAAAGGGACGGCUAACUACGUGCCAGCAGCCGCGGUAAUACGUAGGUCCCGAGCGUUGUCCGGAUUUAUUGGGCGUAAAGCGAGCGCAGGCGGUUAGAUAAGUCUGAAGUUAAAGGCUGUGGCUUAACCAUAGUACGCUUUGGAAACUGUUUAACUUGAGUGCAAGAGGGGAGAGUGGAAUUCCAUGUGUAGCGGUGAAAUGCGUAGAUAUAUGGAGGAACACCGGUGGCGAAAGCGGCUCUCUGGCUUGUAACUGACGCUGAGGCUCGAAAGCGUGGGGAGCAAACAGGAUUAGAUACCCUGGUAGUCCACGCUGUAAACGAUGAGUGCUAGGUGUUAGACCCUUUCCGGGGUUUAGUGCCGUAGCUAACGCAUUAAGCACUCCGCCUGGGGAGUACGACCGCAAGGUUG
rnacentral:rRNA from 1 species